rnacentral:rRNA from 1 species
AUUGAACGCUGGCGGCAUGCUUUACACAUGCAAGUCGAACGGUAACAGGCCGCACGGUGCUGACGAGUGGCGAACGGGUGAGUAAUGCAUCGGAACGUGCCCAGUCGUGGGGGAUAACGCAGCGAAAGCUGCGCUAAUACCGCAUACGAUCUCUGGAUGAAAGCGGGGGACCGAAAGGCCUCGCGCGAUUGGCGCGGCCGAUGUCAGAUUAGGUAGUUGGUGGGGUACAGGCCCACCAAGCCAACGAACUGUAGCUGGUCUGAGAGGACGCCCAGCCACACUGGGACUGAGACACGGAGCAGACUCCUACGGGAGGCAGGAGUGGGGAAUUUUAGACAAUGGGCGCAAGCCUGAUCCAGCAAUGCCGCGUGCAGGAAGAAGGCCUUCGGGUUGUAAACUGCUUUUGUACGGAACGAAACGGUCCGGGCUAAUACCCUGGGCUAAUGACGGUACCGUAAGAAUAAGCACCGGCUAACUACGUGCCAGCCGCCGCAGUAA